AUAAGGUGGCUGAGUUCAGGCAAUGAAUUGUAAAUUCAUUUAGAAAUAAAAAAAUUUCCUUAUUA
rnacentral:tRNA from 1 species